AUCAUAGAUGCAGGGGUAAUUGCCCUCACAAAACUUGGCCCCCAACAUGGGGCUGGACUAAUCGGCUUUCCCUCGACACCCCGAUAACCACGGUCAGAGGACGUACAGAUCCACUUAAAGCAGCGCUGCAAGGUUGGCCGGAAGCCUUCCCAAUAGCAAAAGCAAAUGCCAAGAAUACGGCAAAGAAACUGAUCCUGACUCAGUAGAAGGAACUCACAACUUGCAGCCCGGGGACUGGGUGGUGAUAAAAAGGCAUGUGAGAAAAGGACUAGUUCCAAGAUUCGAUGGUCCCUUUCAAGUACUGUUGACCACCCACACCGCUGUAAAGGUUGAAGGAAAAUCCAACUGGA